GAUGAACGCUGGCGGCGUGCCUAAUACAUGCAAGUCGAGCGAAGCGGGGACGGGUGAGUAACACGUGGAUAACCUCCUAUAAGACUGGGAUAACUUCGGGAAACCGGAGCUAAACCGGAUACGUAUAGAUGGAUCCGCGCUGCAUUAGCCAGUUGGUAAGGUAACGGCUUACCAGGGCGACGAUGCAUAGCCGACCUGAGAGGAUGAUCGGCCACCCUGGGACUGAGACACGGUCCAGACUCCUACGGGAGGCAGCAGUGGGGAAUCUUCCGAAAUGGGCGAAAGCCUGACGGAGCAACGCCGCGUGUGUGAUGAAGGUCUUCGGGUCGUAAAACUCUGUUAUUAGGGAAUCGGUACCUAAUCAGAAAGCCGCGGCUAACUACGUGCCAGCCGCCGCGGUAAUAC
rnacentral:rRNA from 1 species